GAUGAACGCUGGCGGCGUGCCUAAUACAUGCAAGUCGAGCGAACAGACGAGAAGCUUGCUCCUCUGACGUUAGCGGCGGACGGGUGAGUAACACGUGGAUAACCUACCUAUAAGACUGGGAUAACUUCGGGAAACCGGAGCUAAUACCGGAUAAUAUUUUGAACCGCAUGGUUCAAUAGUGAAAGACGGUUUUGCUGUCACUUAUAGAUGGAUCCGCGCCGCAUUAGCUAGUUGGUAAGGUAACGGCUUACCAAGGCAACGAUGCGUAGCCGACCUGAGAGGGUGAUCGGCCACACUGGAACUGAGACACGGUCCAGACUCCUACGGGAGGCAGCAGUAGGGAAUCUUCCGCAAUGGGCGAAAGCCUGAAGGAGCAACGCCGCGUGAGUGAUGAAGGUCUUCGGAUCGUAAAACUCUGUUAUUAGGGAAGAACAGAUGUGUAAGUAACUAUGCACGUCUUGACGGUACCUAAUCAGAAAGCCACGGCUAACUACGUG
rnacentral:rRNA from 1 species